AAAUUGAAGAGUUUGAUCAUGGCUCAGAUUGAACGCUGGCGGCAGGCCUAACACAUGCAAGUCGAACGGUAACAGGAAACAGCUUGCUGUUUCGCUGACGAGUGGCGGACGGGUGAGUAAUGUCUGGGAAACUGCCUGAUGGAGGGGGAUAACUACUGGAAACGGUAGCUAAUACCGCAUAACGUCGCAAGACCAAAGAGGGGGACCUUCGGGCCUCUUGCCAUCAGAUGUGCCCAGAUGGGAUUAGCUAGUAGGUGGGGUAACGGCUCACCUAGGCGACGAUCCCUAGCUGGUCUGAGAGGAUGACCAGCCACACUGGAACUGAGACACGGUCCAGACUCCUACGGGAGGCAGCAGUGGGGAAUAUUGCACAAUGGGCGCAAGCCUGAUGCAGCCAUGCCGCGUGUAUGAAGAAGGCCUUCGGGUUGUAAAGUACUUUCAGCGGGGAGGAAGGGAGUAAAGUUAAUACCUUUGCUCAUUGACGUUACCCGCAGAAGAAGCACCGGCUAACUCCGUGCCAGCAGCCGCGGUAAUACGGAGGGUGCAAGCGUUAAUCGGAAUUGCUAGGCGUAAAGCGCACGCAGGCGGUUUGUUAAGUCAGUUGUUAAAUCCCCGCGCUCAACCUAGGAACUUCAUCUGAUACUGGCAAGCUUGAGUCUCGUAGAGGGGGGUAGAAUUCCAGGUGUAGCGGUGAAAUGCGUAGAGAUCUGGAGGAAUACCGGUGGCGAAGGCGGCCCCCUGGACGAAGACUGACGCUCAGGUGCGAAAGCGUGGGGAGCAAACAGGAUUAGAUACCCUGGUAGUCCACGCCGUAAACGAUGUCGACUUGGAGGUUGUGCCCUUGAGGCGUGGCUUCCGGAGCUAACGCGUUAAGUCGACCGCCUGGGGAGUACGGCCGCAAGGUUAAAACUCAAAUGAAUUGACGGGGGCCCGCACAAGCGGUGGAGCAUGUGGUUUAAUUCGAUGCAACGCGAAGAACCUUACCUGGUCUUGACAUCCACGGAAGUUUUCAGAGAUGAGAAUGUGCCUUCGGGAACCGUGAGACAGGUGCUGCAUGGCUGUCGUCAGCUCGUGUUGUGAAAUGUUGGGUUAAGUCCCGCAACGAGCGCAACCCUUAUCCUUUGUUGCCAGCGGUCCGGCCGGGAACUCAAAGGAGACUGCCAGUGAUAAACUGGAGGAAGGUGGGGAUGACGUCAAGUCAUCAUGGCCCUUACGACCAGGGCUACACACGUGCUACAAUGGCGCAUACAAAGAGAAGCGACCUCGCGAGAGCAAGCGGACCUCAUAAAGUGCGUCGUAGUCCGGAUUGGAGUCUGCAACUCGACUCCAUGAAGUCGGAAUCGCUAGUAAUCGUGGAUCAGAAUGCCACGGUGAAUACGUUCCCGGGCCUUGUACACACCGCCCGUCACACCAUGGGAGUGGGUUGCAAAAGAAGUAGGUAGCUUAACCUUCGGGAGGGCGCUUACCACUUUGUGAUUCAUGACUGGGGUGAAGUCGUAACAAGGUAACCGUAGGGGAACCUGCGGUUGGAUCACCUCCUUACCUUAAAGAAGC
rnacentral:rRNA from 1 species